rnacentral:rRNA from 1 species
UACGUAGGAGACGAGCGUUGUCCGGAGUUACUGGGCGUAAAGGGUGCGCAGGCGGUUGGUUGCGUGGGUGGUGAAAUCUCCUGGCUUAACUGGGAGGGGGCCAUCCAAACGGGCUGACUUGAGGCGUGGAGAGGGACGUGGAAUUCCGGGUGGAGCGGUGAAAUGCGUAGAGAUCCGGAGGAACACCGACGGCGAAGGCAGCGUCCUGGCCACGACCUGACGCUCAGGCACGAAAGCUGGGGGAGCAAACAGG